rnacentral:sRNA from 1 species
AUUGUUCCGCCGGUCGCGCCGGUCGCGCCGGAGCUGGGUUGCUCCUGUGCCCGUCUCCAAGUCCUGGUACCUCCUUCAAGCUGGGAGAGGGCUCUAGUCCCUGGUUCUGAACACUCUGGGGUUCUCGGGUGCAGGCCGCCAUGAGCAAACGGAAGGCGCCGCAGGAGACUCUCAACGGGGGAAUCACCGACAUGCUCACAGAACUCGCAAACUUUGAGAAGAACGUGAGCCAAGCUAUCCACAAGUACAAUGCUUACAGAAAAGCAGCAUCUGUUAUAGCAAAAUACCCACACAAAAUAAAGAGUGGAGCUGAAGCUAAGAAAUUGCCUGGAGUAGGAACAAAAAUUGCUGAAAAGAUUGAUGAGUUUUUAGCAACUGGAAAAUUACGUAAACUGGAAAAGGUAAAAUUUUAACUUGUUUACUUCAUUAAUUAUAGUAUCUGCCUUUAUGGCCACUAUGUAGCGUCAUUGCAGGGUGACCAAUGUCAUUCACUGUAGUGAGACUCACAGGAAAUGAGGUGAGUGAAGUUGAUGGCUUUAACUUUUUGAAUGUUAUUUCCAUAAAAUGUUCACUUGUUUUAUGUGGCAUUUAAGAGACUAU